AAACCUUUUACUUGACAGACAUCAAACCUGGCACACUUGGAUAUCUUCAGAAGUAGAUUACCUCUUUUGAUUGUGAGGUCACAUGAUCAAAGGUAGAGGGUAAAAGUGGACAUACGAAUAUACUAUCUGUUUAUUAUCUCUAGAACACUUUACUAUACACAAAUCAAAUUUGGUACACUGGUACAUCGUAAGGAGUAGAUGACCACUAUUGAUCAUGGGUUGCAUGGUCAAUCCACUCUGGACAUAAGAAAAGUUUGUCUGCUGAAUAUCUUGAAUUGGUUUGGCACUACUAUCAUAAUCAAUGAAAUUAUGUGUGUGCAUAACCCUUGUAUAAUUUUGCACCAUGGUGGGCAUCUAUGUUUUACAAACAUUUCUUGUUUUAUAUUAUUCCAUGUGCGAGUUCAAAGGGGGUGCUAGAAGAUGAAAACGGAAGGACAGUUUUAUCACUAGAAUUUUAUAAAAGAGUAGGGCGGACAUACAUGUGUAACUACAAACUUAAUUUGAUUCAGUAUAUAGUGAAGAGAUUUACACUUCACCAGACACAUCAUUCCCUGGCAUACAUACCUAACUAUAACAUAUUAUUCAUUUUAUAUAGAAUUAUUAUACGCCCGUCCUUGGUCGGAACAUAUUUGGGUACAGUAAUGACUAUACGUAUGUCCGUUCAGACUUUCUGUUUCUGUUUUCAUUUCUCUGCCACAUAUCAAGCUAAAACUUGUUAUGUAGCUUAUUUGUGGGUCAUUCUAAAUCAUGUAAUAAUUUUGAUUCAUUUUGACAUAUCUCUUGCAGGAGUGUGUCCUUUUAUUUUAAAAUUCUUUUGAUAUGGAGUGUACAUAAAUUGUCUUGUUAUCUCCUCUGAUAGUUUUCAAAUGAGGACUUUUUUUUAUUUUGAGGAGUGUUUCUAUGAAUGUUAUUGAUGUGCAUAUGACAGGGAUUUUAAUUUUCCUCAGUUUUUUUGAGAACAGUGCACGUUGUUGAACGUAGUUAGUUUCGGGAAAGUAUUAUAUAGAGAGCACAUGACAUGUCCGUCUAAUGCGUUUUUGUCGUAUUAUUUAUAGACACUAUGAGAUUGUGCAGUUCUUCACUUUUUCAAGUUUUUCUUUAGUAGAAAUAUUCCCAUGGUGGUGUUCAAAUUAGUGUAGGGAGGGGUGUUUCUCCACAAACAACGAUAUUAUCAUCACCAUUGUUUUUAAAAUAGUGGAAUAUCGUACUCUCAAAAUUUCAGGUCCCAGGGAAGGUGGUCAUUAAUGUUUCCGAUCCCGAUGUUUAUUCACUAAGUACAAUGCAUUAUGAACAAAAAGUAUAGGAAAGAUCUUCAUAACUAGAGAAAGUACCAUCACCAUUUUCACAAUGAUGGGAACUGACCACUAAUACCUUCAUCUCCAAUUUUAGCUCUUCUGAGCCGAAGGCUCAAAGAGCUAAUCAUAUGGCCAUAUGUCUGGCGUGCGGUGUGCUUCGACUUUUUGGAAAAAGGGCUAUAUCUCAAGAACCUCUUGGCCAAUUUUUGUCAAAUUUGUCAAAGGGUAUCCUUGGACCAAGGGCUUUCAUUUGUACUAAAAUUAGGGUUGUGACCCUUUAACAAAGGAGAUAAUUAGGAAAAUGCAAACAAAAGUAGUGGUUGCUAAAAAGUCUUCUUAAGAACCACUGGGCAAAUUAUCACCAAUCGUAUGCAUAAGGAUGAUGAUGGGUUGUAGAUAAAAAAAAAAAGUGUUCAAGGCAUCAUCCAGGGGCAAAGGGUGCGGUCUUAAGGUCACUUCAAAGUUGACCUUAAAUUUUGUUUUGUUAAAACUUUGAUAUUUUGCUUAGUGUAAGAACUAGGAUCAUCAAAUUUUGUCAGUUGAUGCAUCUUAGGACCUAAUAUCAUGUUGUUUCAAAAGUAGGCCAUGGUGACCUACUUUUUGAAUUUCGCAGGUAAUUAUUAUUAAAUGGAUUUUGAUGCAUAUCUUGGACACUUUUGAGCCUAUGAUCAUCAAAAGUUGUCAGUUGAUGGAUCAUAGGACCUUGAGCUGCGUCAUGUGAAAAUUAUGCCAUGACCUACUUUCUGAAUUUCAUGGCUAAUUAUUUAUAAAUACAUUUUAGGUUAUCAUUUCAGAUACCGAGAGGUUUAGAAUCAUCACACCUUGUAAGUUGAUGCGUCUAGAGGCCUCGAAACAUUUUUAUGAAAAAGUAGGUCACAGUGACCUACUUUUGAAUUUUGUAGACAUUCAAAUUUCACAUUUCAAUUUUAGGUGCAUAUUUUGGACACUAUGAAAGCUAGGAUAAUCAAACUUUGUCAGUUGAUGCAUCUUGAUUCUUCAUAGUUUGCUGACCAAAACGUAGGUCACCGUGACCUACUUUUGGAAUUUGACGGCUAUAUUUUAAUAUUUCUGAUACCACUUGACUUACAAUUAUCAAACUUUGUCAGUUGAUGCAUGUUGAGUUGUCAGAGUGUGUUGACUAAAAAGUAGGUCACCGUGACCUAUUUUUGGAUUUUGACGGCCAUAUUUGAAUAUUUCAGAUACUAUUUGACUUACAAUCAUCAAACUUUGUCAGUUGAUGGGUCUUGAGUCUUCAGUGUGUGUCGACCAAAAAGUAGGUCACUGUGACCUACUUUUGGAAUUUCACGUUUAUAUCUGAAAUUUCAGAUACUAUUUUACUUCAAUUAUCAAACUUUGUCAGUUGAUGCAUCUUGAGUCUUUGGAGUAUGUCGACCAAAAAGUAGGUCACUGUGGCAUUCUUUUGGAAUUUGACGGCUAUAUUUGAAUACUAUUUAACUUGUCAGUUGAUGCAUCUUGAGUGUUCGGUGUGUCGACCAAAUGUAGGUGACCGUGACCUACUUUUGGACAGUUACAUUUAAAUUUUCAGGUACUAUUUGACUUAACAUCAUCAAACUUUGUUAAUUGAUGAAUCUUGGUUAGUGAGAAUUUUUGCCUGUUCUACAAUGUAUCAGAAGAGCGAUUCUAGGCCCAUGGGCCUCUUGUUAUAUCAUGUGACAGAGUGCACUCUUUAUUACAAAUGCAAUCUCUCAGUGGGUUACAUGCUAUCUACCGCGUGUCAAAAUAAUUGUAAGACCAUCUUUAGAUGCUGGUUUUGACUACGGAUUACUCUGUUUACCUGGUUAAGACAUAAAGCCCACGGCAAGUGUAACCGAUGAACAGGGAAUGCGUACUUCUCUUAGACACAUAAACCCACCAAUGCUGUAUCCAGGGGUCCGUGUUUGCCAUACACCAAACGUUGUAUUCAGAGUGUUUAGCGGUAGUGGCAUAUGAUCAAUCAAUUUUUGCAUCAUGGUUUUAUUUAUUUAUAUCCCCCCUCGUGCUGAAAGAGGCAUAUUCUGUUUGUACUUUAUAUCAGUCUGUCUGUCAUGCAUUCAUGUAAACACUUUUCCUCUUAUAUAUUUAACCAGAUAGACUUGAAGCGUUGUACAAUGCUUCAUAGACAUGGAAAAUGCCCCCAUGCAAUUGUGCGUAGACUGUAAAAAUACCGAUUCAUUGAUAACGGGAAGUCAUCCUUAUGUUCCAUCGUUUCAUGUACUUCAUAAGUUAUGUAUACUUACCUUGUACAUAGUGUACGCAUGUUUUAAGAUCGUAAUAGCGUACUAUUUAAACAAGCGUGCAUACUACACCUUUUAUCGAAGUUGCCAUUUUCUGACACCCUCUCUCUCACCGAUCGCGACAGUAUUUUGUUUCACAAAUAUAAAGAAAAUUGAAAAAGAAAAAAAAAAAAAAUGAAAUACCAAUAAAAGACAUUGUCUUUCAACUCUUAUUUCUUCUCUGUUAUUCACCUUUAGAAAAUAUUUUUACAAGCCUAUCUAAUAAACAAGAGGUUUUCAUUCCCCUCAACAUUGAAAAGAUAAAGUUACAAUGACAACCUCUUUUUCUGUUCUGCAGCUGUUGUUUGUGCUCUCUCCUUUUUCUUGUGAAAAUGUGAUCGCCAUUUCAUAACUUAAUAUUCUUUCCAUUCUCUGUCCAUAUAUAUUGCUGUCAUAGCGCCGCAAUUACAAUAUUCUUGACACUUUCGAACACCUAUACAAACAUUUACUUCAUGCCUCGUUCACACUAAAAAAAAAAUAAUUCGCAUUAAACGUAAGUUAAUGCGAAUUAAAUCUGAACAGCAUUCACAUGGAAAUUUUAAUGCACAUCCGUGUGAACUCGGCAUGAACUUCAUCAAAAUCAUGUUGCAGAUUAGUUUAAGAAGAAAUGCUUUUAGCGCUUGUAAAACAAUUCCUGAAACAUUGAUUUUGAUGGAAUUAAUGUAUUUGUCCGAAUUAAAAAAAAUCGUACCUGCAUAUAUCAUUAGCUCACCUGAGCUGAGAGCUCAAGUGAAUUUUUCUGAUCGCCUUCUCUGCGUCGUAUGUUCGUCUGUCUGUCAGUCUGUAAACUUUUAACAUUUUUGACUUCUUUUCCAGAAUCACUGGGCCAAUUAUAACUAAACUUAGCCAAAGGCAUCCUUGGGUAAAGGGCUUUCACCUUUGUUCAGAUGAAGGGCCAUACCCUUUUCAAAGGGGAGAUGAUGACAAAAAUGCAAAAAUAGGGUGGGGUCAUUUAAAAUUUUUCUCAAAAACCACUGGGCAUACUCUAUAAUAACUUUCAGCCUACAUUCUUCUCAUUCACUAAUAUUGAUAUAAAAAUAGUGGAGGUAGGGAGACAGUCAUUCGCUAUAUACUUGUAUUUCUUUGCAUAUGAAAAUAACAAAUAAUGAUCAUUCAGACCCACAAAUUAACAUCACUGGCUAUAUAACCAUUCACAAAGACUAAUCGACGAGGUGGUGCCAUAUGUACCUACAUUAGGGAAUAUCUUGCAUUCACUCUGGUUGAGAUUCAAGGAAUAAGAGAUAGCGAUGAGAUUUUGUUCUUAGAUUUCCUGCUGCCAAAGACAAAACCAGUUAUUGUUGGAACGUGUUAUGGACCUCCAACUCCGUCAACUUUUCCUGAGGGAUAGGAUUGUUUUGCUGUUUUUUCGCAACACUCAACAUUUUUUUCCAGUUAUAUGGUGGUGCCCAGUUUUUAUUGGUGGAAGAGAGAACCCAGAUACAAUGUACCUGGGGAGACACAACCGACCUCCCGAAAGUAAACUGGGAAACUUUCUCACUUACCGGCGCGAGUGGGAUUCGAACCCGCGCUGACUAGAGGUGAGAGGCCGUGUGAUAUUGAGCGCGAUGCUCUAACCACUCGCCCACGGAGCCACCCUGAGAGAUUGGAGAAAUCCCUCACUGAAGUGUGAAAUAUCUCUUCUUUAAAAUGUGAUUUUAACAUUUACACCUUCAAUACCAACAAUCAACUUUUUCAUGCACACAUCAUAUCAUCAAACUAUUUGGACUAACUCAAUUGGUUAACGAACCAACAUGUAUCACCGAUAAAUCUAAGUAUUUAAUGGACCAUAUCUUCUGUAAUGAUGCGUAGAAAAUAUGUCAAUCUGGUGUCAUCAAUAUAGGUCUUAGUGACCAUUCUCGUAUUUACUGUACAAGAGAAUCUUACAGAACUUUUUUAGGAAAGCAUGACAAUAUCAAAAUAAGGUCUACAAAAACUUAUGACAAAGACAUUUUUAUUACUUUUUUAACAGAAGCCGAAUGAAGUAAAUAUUUCCAUGCUAACAAUGUUAACGAAUCAUGGUGUGCUUUUAAAGAAAUUUUCGUGAACAAUUUAAACAAAGUUGCGCCAGUGAAAGAAAUCAGAAUAAAGCAAGAGAGAGAGAGAGAGAGAGAGAGAGAGAGAGAGAGAGAGAGAGAGAGAGAGAGAGAGUCUGGAAUGCAGAAAGAAUACAAAUCCUACUGUAAAAUUAGAAAUCUACUUCAGAAUCAGUGUAACAUAUCCGACUACUUUCACGACAAAAUAGAUGAGAACAAACGUAACCCCAGAAAUGUGUGGCCAUGUUUUAAAAGUCUUGGGUACCAACAACAUUCCAAAACUAGCGGUACUACAGUUUUGAACAGUAAUGGUGGAAACUGCUUUGAGAAUCAAACAAUUGCAGAUCACUUUAAUUUAUUUUUCACAAUUGCAGCAAAUCUUGGAGAAAAACUACCCUCUCCCAGAGAUUUAUACAAAGCAGCAUCACAUAUCAUUAAAAGUUUCUAUAAAAAACAAGAGAAAGUAUGAAACCUCCUUCAUUUUAAAGCAUGUUGGGGAAAAUUAUGUUUAUAAAGAACUCUGUUGACUUAAUGUCACCAAAAGUACAGGCUUAUAUGGGAUACCAGCCAGAUUUCUCAAAGAUGCAGCACCUAUCACUAAGCUUCCAUUACAUUUUUGAUAAAUCAGUCUAUAUCGGAAGAAACAGCUCCCAAAAAACUCAAAAUUGCUAAAGUUAAACCUCUUUUCAAGGAAAGUGAUCGAUUAAAAGCAGAAAACUAUAGGCCAGUAAGCAUCUUAAACAAUGUGUCUAAAAUUUUAGAAAAAGCAAUAUAUAAUCAACUCGAAAGUUUUCUUAUUAAUUAUUUUAUAUGACUUCGAAUUAGGAUUCUAGUCAGAAGUUCAUGUUCUACAGACAGCUGUUUAGUGCAUCUUACUGAUUAUAUCAAAUCAAUAUCGGAUAAUUCUUCUUGACCUUCAGAUAAUUUUUGAUAUAGUUGAUUACGGAAGCCGAUAGGUGCCACGGCAUAGAAUUAAUAUCUAUUUAACUCGUGGCCGCCACUUAAGUUAUGUGGCGGCCGCCACUUAAUUUAACUGACGGUCGCCACUUAUUAUCUGGCGGCCGUCAAAUAAAUUAACUUGCGGCUGGCAGUUAAUUUAUGUCGCGGCCGUCAAUUAAUUUAUGUGGCGGCCGACAGUUAAUUUAUAUGGCGGCCGCCAGUUAUUAUCUGGCGGCCGUCAAAUAAAUUUACUUGCAGCAGCCAGUUAAUUUAUGUCGCGGCCGUCAUUUAAUUUAUGUGGCGGCCGCCAGUUAAUUUGUAUGGCGGCUGCCAGUGAAUUAUAUGGCGGCCGCCAGUAAAUAUAACUGGCGGCCGCAAUAUAAAUUAACUGGCGGCCGCCACUCAAUUCAAAUGAUUUAUAUGGCUGUCGCCAGUUAUUCAACUCUUCUCUCUUUCUCUAACUCUCUCUCAAAAUGAAAAGGGUGCAAUCCCUCCCCAAUGCUUAGUAAUAUGUAUGUGAUAUAUAUAGAAUUAAGAGCAUUGCAUUAUUGUUUUUCGAUUGUGUUGUUAAAUACGUAGAACCACGGGGAUGACCCUCCAUUAUUUUGACAACGUUCAAUUUCUGUUAUUUUCACAUGCGAAACUAAGUUAUUUUCACAGGUGAAAUAAGAUUAAUUGGCGGAUUGGCCCCCAUUCCACUCCUUUGGUGGUACUAAUGGAUGGUAAAAAUAUAAUAAUGAACGGACUGAUAAAUGGAAGGAUGAACGGAGCCCCCUCCCUCCAAUUUAGGAGUACAAAGUUUGGGUAAUAUAGACGUUAUAGGUUCCUUUUCUGCUUGUCAACUUCUCCGAUGACUAUCCCUACACUGCUGCGUAUUUGCGUACUAUUCUAAAUCUUUCCAAAAUAAUCAUUGAGCGUUAUGAAUUGAAUUAUUGAAUUGCAAUUGGCAGCCACCAUGUAUAAAUUGAGUGGCGGCCGCCAGAUAAAAUAACUGGCGGUUGCCAAAUAAUAAGUAGCGAACGCCAAUUGCAACCAGACCCAACCUGACACCCAAGCUGUCCCAGAAAGGAGUCCUGGGGACUGCUCUCUCAAAAUGCGGGACUGCUCUGGGACUGCUCUAGAAAGCAGUCCUAGCGGUCCCAGUAGUCCCUGGGACAGCUUUCUGGGACUGCUUUGUUCAGCCAAGCGUGAAUGAAUCACGUGAUGUUAUGAUUGACAGGAAAGUCCCGUCCACCGUGUAUUCAGAAUAUUCACAAAUCACCUCAGUAGUUUUUUCACCGCUUGCUGACGCACUUUCACUAGAGAACUUGAUGGAAAUAGAAUAACAAGAAUAUAUCCCUACAUUCUUCGGCGGAUAAUUUGAAUAAUAUGUAACGAAUCAUUUACAAAUCAAAAAUACGUGUACACGUAAGUGGAAAACAGUUUUUGCUAGUUUAAUAUAGACGAUAAGUGAAUAAAUCAUUUAGGCGACUUUACACACAUUUAUUUCAAUAACGCAGUCAAGAAAUAAAUAUAGUUAUGCUACAUGAUUUUCAGAACCCAAGACACACUUCACAUGUAUGAAAUAUAAAAAAAAUAAAAUAAUGAAUAACAACAACAAUAUCACCUGAUAGAACAUGGACGUUAAUUGAUUUUACGUUGUGUUUGUGGUUAUCAGACUUGUAAACUCUGCAUGCAUCUUUUUCACUCUUAUUCAUAAACUAACAUUUUGGUGUAAAUUGAUGAAAAAGUUUCACACAAGUAUUUUGAAUAUUUGCUGCCUCCAUGUAUAAUGUAUUGUUUUUCUCUUUAAUUAUAUUGUAAGUCAUUUAUCUUCGAUUCCGACUAACGUAUUGUCGGCUUAGCUCCUCCCACUAGUUAUUGUAACCCCGCCUGUUGGGACUGCUGGGACCGCUGGGAAUGUUUUUCGGUUUGUUUACUGGGACUGCUGCGAAACUGCACUGGGACAGCUCUGGGACUGCUUUCUGUCAGGUUGGGUCUGUUUGGUACUGUUAUUUAUAUGGCGGCCGUCAGAUAACAAGUGGCGGCCGCCAGUUAAAUUAAGUUGCGGCUGCUACACAAAUUAAGUAGCUGCCGCCAGUUAAAUUAUCCUGGCACCUAUCAGUUGAUCAUAAAAUACUUUGUGAAAAAUUGAAUGUCAUCGGCGUUAAGUCAAUUGAAUGUUAAAUCCUAUUUAUCUGGGAGAAAACAAAUUGUAAAUGUAAACAAUGCAAAUUUUGCUGUAUGUAAUUUUACAUGCGGGGUUCCUCAAGGCAGUUUACUUGGGCCUCUUUUAUUUCUAGUAUAUGUUAAGGCAGUGGCGUACCUACAUUAUAGCACUGUAAGCACGUACUUACAAAUAUGUUUUGCAAUUAAUAAAAAAAAGAUUGUUAUUAUUUCAUAGCAGCUUCCGACAACGCUUUGCGUUCGUACUGGAACUAGUUUCGUUAUGUUACAGACCGGUCACCAUGAUUAGGUGGUCAGAGGGGUCGUUUUGUGACGGGGAGGGGGUUGUGGAUCAGAAACCCACUCGUACCUUGGCCGUGUUAUGUACUCACGGCUUAAGAAUACAUGUAAUGACUCGUAUUGACUCUGAACAAUCCGUAAAGCGAUUGUAACCCGACGUGAAUGAAAUCGUAAAUAUCACUUAAGCAUUCGUAAUAAUCCGUAAACAACUCGUAAACUACCCGUAACAUAUCGUAAACUAACCGCAAAGAUUAGAAAAAAAACUGUUUACGAUUGUUUUACGGAUUUUUACGAGCAUUUUACGUGUUCUUGCGACCAGUUUACGAUAUUUACGGAUUGUUACAAGUUAUUUAUGGGUUAUUUGCAUGAAAUGAAAUCCGUGGACAAGGGUGAUUUUUUUGCCCCUAUUUUCGCGGAUCCUUACGAGUGUGUGCGAGUAUCCGAGCUGGCCGUGUAGGUGGAAAAUUUUACAAUAUCAUAAAACACAAGUAUUCAAACACUAAAUAUUGCUGCAAAGACGAAUCUAGAUAUAGUGAACCGUUUGUGCCUACUCGUGGGUUAAGCAAGGAGAUCACCUUUCCCCUACUCUAUUUAAUAUAUUUAUUGAUGAUUUCUACUCACAACAUAUGAAUUUUAACACAAACCCACUUAGGCUUCAAAAUGAAUAAAAAUAUUUGGUAAUUAUUCUCAGUUGUACUGGUAAACUUAAAUACGCAGCUGAACAGCUGGAUGGCUCUGCACGGAAAGCUUUUUAUGCAAGUAAACAUUUCUUAUCAUAAACUAUCUGUGAAAACUAUUUUAAAAUUUUAUUCUGCUCUUAUUGAACAUUUCAUUUCACAUGGUUCUGAAAUUUGGAUUUUAGAUUUUAAUAUGUUCAUUAACAAUUGUGACCUAAUACCCUUUGAAAAAAUACAGCACUUAAUAUUUAAAGACAUUUUGGGUGUACAGAAAAGCUUCAAAUUUAGCCAUCAAAUAUGAACCAGGAACAUUUCCCAUCUCCUUUCAAGCUCUCCUCUCUAUGCUUAGAUUUUACAAAAUACUAAAAAGCUAUGCUGAUGAAAACGAUAUUAAAAAUCCAAUACUUAUGGCUGCUAAACUGGAGGAUGAUAACCUUUAUACCACUGGUUUACAGGAAAAUUGGCAGGGACAAAUACUAAAGUUAAGAAAUAAGUUAAAUCUUUUAUCAUCAGAUAUUGAUAAAAGCACAUUCUACAAUUACCUGAAAAAUUAUAAUAUUGUCAAUAUUAACAUGCUGCUGCAAAAUACUGAAUUCUCUAAACGUGGAAAAUUGCUAUUUUACAGUAAAAUUAGAAAGAACUAUGAAUUACAAGACUAUUUGAAAUUCUCAAUUGCGAAAGUAGUACGCUCUAAAUUUCCCUUUCAACAUCUACAAUUAAGAUGAUGAUAUAUCAAAGGAAAACCAUUGCAAAGUACUAUGCAACCCUGUUUGUAUGCCAACAUGUUUGGUGAAUGAAUACAUUAAUUGAACUGAAUUGAACUAAAACUAGAAAGAAAAACCCCACUUUCACUCAGACUCACACAAUACACUAAAUACACCUUCCGGAACUCUUCUUUUAUCGAAAUACAAGGUCACCUCUUUCAUUUGUAAUGUUUGGUCCUGAACUCUUCAAUAUACUCGAUAUAACAAUGCCCCAGUUUGACAAUGUUCACAAGCCAAUGGUUUAAAAAUCGUAAACUCUUGGCUAGCGAAGAUGCUGUUUGACCUUCGUCGCAAGUCACGCCUAUUGUGUCCGUUUACGCUACGUCAAGUGCCGUGGCUGUGGGAUCAAAAUUAUCCUCGACUUCAUGAAUAUUUAUAUUCAUUAAUCAGUCAAUCGGCGAGCUUCCAUUUUUUAUGGAAAGAAAAUAUUCUCAAGUCAUGGCGUGCUCGUAGCGGAAUAAUCCGAGGAUUGCCGAUUGAGAAGAAACUGUACACGUUUUAGCUGUAACAGUUGUAACUAAUGGACGCCCUUUGUUGACUUCACCAGUGUAAUAAAUUUGCCAUAUCAUAUGCGUAAGCACGCCGCUUUCCUUAAAUAAUUGUCCGAUCGACUCUACUCUUUCAGAUUUCAAAACAUCCACUUUACCCCGAAUUUCCUUAUCAUGUUUCAGAAUAGAUUAAUUUUAUGAACACAUAAUUGACAAGCGUAACCACUACUGUUAAUGCGAAUUUCAUUUCAUAAAUACAUGUACUUGAUAUAAACUUGACUUGCUUCUGUAAAUAGGGAUAUGUGGCCUGUUUUGUUCGUUAUUACUAGUCUAUACUGCAGGCUUUUAGGGCACCUGAGUAAACUCAGGUGACCUAUUGCAAUUGGUUGUCGUUCGUCGUCGUCAGUCGUCCGUCGUGUGUUAACCAUUGAACAUUUUUAACUUAUUCUCGAUAACUACCAGUCCCAUUUCUUUUCAUAUUGACAUGUAGCAUCUUUGGGACAAGGGGGACAUCUAUUGCAAACUUCAGGACUCCUGCACCCCUGGAGCCUUAGGGGCGGGACAAAAACUGCCCAAAAUUGACCAAUUUUCAACAAUUCACUUCUAUACAACCGCACACGUGUAAGAAAAACUAAAUGCGUCGUGAUGUAGAGCAGGAUUGAUUGAUUGAUUGUAUAUUGCUUAACGUUUCUCUUGAGAAUAUUUCACUCAUAUGGAGACGUUUGUAGAGCGGGAGGCCUCUGUCAAAAUUGUAAAUUUCAUGAACCCCGGGGUAGGGGUUCUGACACCAGGGCAGAGCCAUGCUUGGUAUAUAGUGUUUAAUGUGUAAACACUUAAAUAACAUCUUCUUUAGUGUCAUUGAUACUAAAUGGAAAGUAAAUGGAUAUUUAGAAAAACAGGUAGUCCUUUACCAAAAUUGUAAAUUUGAUGAUCCUAAGGUUUUGGUAUCAGGGUGUGGCCAAAAUGGUCAGUUAUUAAAUGUGUGAACAAUAUACAUUUUUAAUUUCUUCUUGAUAAUAAUCAUUCCAAUUUUUUUCCAAUUUGAUAUGAAGCAUAUGUGGGACAAGGGGGAGGCUUAAAUUGUAAUUGGGCCCUUGGGGGCAGGGCAAAGACUUCCCAAAAUUGACCAAUUUUCAAAAAUCUUUACAACCACACAUGUGUAAGAAAAACGAAAUGCUUAGUGAUAUACAUGUAACCUCCACAAAAAUGUAAAUUUCAUGAUCCUCGUUGUAGGAGUUUUGACCUCAGGGCGGAGCCAAUCUCACUAUAUAGUGUUCAUGUGUAUAAUACUUAGAUACCAUCAGAUCAGUGUUGUUGAUACUAAAUUGAAAGUAAAUGGAUAUAUAGAAAGAGCAGGUAGUCCUUUACCAAGAUUGUACAUUUGAAGAUCCCCGGGUUAGGGAUUCUGACCCCAGGGUGGGACCAAACUUAGUAUACAGUAUUUAUCUGUAAGUUUGCUGAUACUGUAUGAAAUCUAAAUGCAUACUUAAGAAUAGCAGAAAAGGAUGUACAAAAAUUGUAAUUCUACACAUCUUGUUUUAUACUCUUGCUGAACAUUAGAAUUUACCUUAUACAUUCAGAACAGGACAAUUUUUUUUUUCUAGAUUUCAUAGCCCUUUGGAGUAGUGAUAUUUUUUCAUUAGUACUCAGGUGACUGAUAAUACCUGUGGGCCUCUUGUUUGUUGUGGGCGCAGACAUUAAAGUAUCGGAAAUUUGUUAUUGUACUUGUGAUUGGUCAAAGAAAUUAUUGCAUCACUUUAUAAACAUUCAUGAAAAUCGAGGGUUUGCUGAUCAUGUCGGCACGGUUUGAGGUCGGGUAGGUACUUCUGGGCUUAGAACCGUGGUUAACGAUGUUGCAGCUUGACAUGUUACAUGUAUGACUGUGCAGGCCACGUUUUUUCCCGUGCUAGAUGGCGCGAUGUCGCUUGUCAAACAAUCUUGUGAUUUUCUACCGUCUUCUUUAUAGAAGGCAUCGCUAUGCGAAAACACACGGGUAAACGCGUUAUCGGCUAUUCGGUUAUCGGACAUUCGCUUCAAUGACGUAUGUUUGGGAAACACAGGGUAACUUCAUACGUUGUUUUUAUUGAUAAAGACACAUUCUAUGCCGCGGUAAUAGUAAUACUAAAUAGGUAUAUGAUCAUCCUUUCAGCAGCUAAAAGCGCACAUCAAUCAAUUCCCAUUUAAAAGAUUAGCAGCACUGAGAAUAGAAAAUCCAUUAUGCAUUUUGUAAAAAUCUAUCAAAAAUGUAAUACUAGAGCUGUAAAGAAUUGUAUUUAUUCAAGAGGGGGUAUUGAUUAGCAUUUUUAGACUUAAAUAAUCCUAUACAGCAUUAACUAGACACCAAAUUGGUGUUUUAGUAAUAGAAAAUUCGUGAAACUGGUGUUGUUAAGUGUUCGGAACAAAGUAAUGGAGACUUAAAACUAUAGUAGUUGCGUUGUGUCAUUCUUAUCUGCUGGGUACUGAGUUGGUGGAUCUAAUAGAAAUUAAAAGUUUUUUCUGGUGACAAAUCGAUUGAUAAUAUAUUGUUUAAUGCCCCUCUCGGGAAUGUUUCCCUUAUAUGGAGACGUCACCAUUGCAGAUGAAGGGCUGCAAAAUUUAGGCCUAUCAUAGGCACUUACGGUCUUUGAGCAAGGAGGGAUCUUUAUCGUGCCACACCUGCUGUGACACGGGACCUCGGCUUAAGCGGUCUCAUCCGAAGGACCGCCCCAUUUAGUCCCAUCUUACGACAAGCAGGGGAUAAUCAGGACCUACUCUGACCCGAAUCCCCACGGGCAUUUUGUAUAUGUAUGAUUAACUGUCAGACAAAAUAGUAGCGUAGUACAUGCAAUGUAUGAAACAUUUUAUACUAGAGAAAGGGAGCUUGGACUGGUGUCAAGUUAUGAAAUGAUGGAGCUUUUAAAAAAAACCUUUUCCCCUAACAGUAUGAUUUUUUUAAAAAACUUUUAAAACAAUCUAAGUCCUCAUUGAAUCCGAAUUCAUAUUUUUCUUUCAGAUUCCAUGGAUGAUUUCACGUGCUACUACUAUAGCUUCUCGACAUGUCAUUUCGAAUAAUAGUAUAACAUAGUACUGAUAACUAUCCCAGUGAUGUUAUUAAAUGCAGACAAUAAGUCAUUAAACUUAUCAGAGACACCCAAGCGAAAAUACAUGUAUAUGUUACAAGAACCUACUAAGAACUAAACCUUGAUGUACCACCUACCAAAUAACAAUCCACAUGUAAAUGAAAUGUAACAAUACUAAUUUCUACAUACAAUUUAUAGUGUCUGACACAUGUACCAGAACGCACGAACUCAAAACUCAAUCGAGAUGGAUGGACAGGGAUAAACAUACAUUCCCUUUGUCCACCGUGAUCAAACCCUAACUUGAUAGCACAGUCAUUCUCUAUCAAAUGAGGAAAUGUUUUCCGACCAUGCAUUACAUACAAUUUAGUGCCAAUGCGAUUUACUCCGAUAAGUAUGCAGAAAAGGUUUUUUGCCACGCACUUGGCACAUUUAUUCACUGGUCAUUUGCUAUGAUCCUAUAAGGCUGGUUCUUGUCCGGUUGUUUGAUAUUUGUCUCUUUAGACACGUUUUUCACUUUCAUUGCAUCCUUGAAAUUUCACACCACAUAUACCUGUACGUACAUGAAUUCAAAUAUUCACACUAAUUGAAUAACAUUGCAAUUGAAGCCUGAUUAUGUUUGUCGCCAUAAGCAGAGCAGUCUCGUAACCAGAGAGAAAACGAAGUGUACCAAUGAAAUCACCUAUUUUUGUGUGCAUAGAAACAGGGUUUCUUGUCAAUUCCGAAACCCAAAAGAGUUUACAAAAUUAUUUUCUAAAGUGUUUUAGUGUACCAACGCAUCGUGUGUACGUGGACUGAUUUAACAUUCGUUUUAUGAUUUCCCCCUCUUUGUUUUCGACAGAAUGGUAUAAACAUGUAUGGUAAAUGUCACUGAUGAAAGGUGAAGAUAACGAACAGUGAUCAAUCUCAUAACUCCUAUAAGCAAUAAGAAUUAGAGAGUUGAGCAAACAUUGACCCCUUAAUACACCAUGGAUGAGAACAGGUGUCUAUGACGAGUAAACAUCCUCUGUCACACCCGCCGUGAGCCCUAUAUCUUGAUAAGGUAAGCGGAGGUAUCCGUAGUCAAAACCAGCGUGCCAAGAAAGAAGAAUAUCCUAAUCCGUCUACUUCAUGUCCAUACACUGUAUGAUGUACAGUGAUCCCCCGCUAUAACGCCAACAUUUGUACCUCGGCAAUUUCGGCAUUAUAACGGGGGUGGCAUUAUAUCGGGGGAAGGGGGUAUGUGUACAGUUGUCAUAAGAAAUCAAACACAUUUAUCUACUACAUCAUGCUUUGAAUGCCUGGAUAAUCCCGGCUUCCUGUGGUCGUAAAUGCCUGAUAAUGGUAGGAGUAUUUAAUGAUUUCUAGUUUUUGUUUGAUGUCCAAGACACUUACACUUAGGUGUGUCCGCCAUACUUAGAUUUCAAAACCAAUACUGCAUAUCUGAACUCAGUUGAUUAUAAUUUACGUAACUUAUUAUCUGCUGCAAACUUUGAUAUCUUGAUAACUAAUGUCAGAUAAUUGCGUAAGCCAACUCACUGAAAUUUUCCUGCCGUUGAUUGGCGAUAAUUCGCGAGGGUGAUUAUAACGGAAAUUGACCCAAUCGUACCUGUAAAUAGGUUGGCGGAUGGCGGCAUGCGGGGGAUGGCGCUAUAACGGGGUUUAACAUAGCAAGGAAAACAGGACUUUGAACUUUUUUGGCGAUAUGCGGGGGUGGCAUUAUAACGGGGGCAAUAUAACGGGGGAUCACUGUACAUUAAAAUGAUAUUCAGCAUGAUGUUAAUGAUUGGAAAUUGAUUGAAUGGACAUUAUGAUGCUGAUUAAAUCAUAAACCGGGGUUAUAUAAUGCAGUUACUUUUAGACACAAAUACCUUAAUGGCAAAGUCUCCCUCUCUCUCUCUCUCUCUCUCUCUCUCUCUCUCUCUCUCUCUCUCUCUCUUUCUUUCUUUCUCAAAUAAUUUGUACGCAGUUUCGUACUUGCGUAUAGGUAGCUACGCGUUUGCAGAGUAUUAUAUGUCUUUCUUAUAAGAUAAGAAUAUGCAAGACUCCACGUAUUUUUGUAUCUGAUUGCUAUUUUUGAUCUAACUUUAAUAUAAUGUACAUAGAAAAUAAGCAAAGCCCGAUGAUAAGAUCAUACAACUUGUUUAUAAAAGCAGAAAGGGGCAAUCAAUUUCACGUUUUAUUAGAAGAGAAUUCUUUCCACCUUAUGUUAUUUCAUAUACAACUCAUUAAAUGGUUAAUGCUGAGUAUUCGUGUGAUUCUUACUUUCCUCUACAGUAACAUCAACCUAAUUACUGAUAACCAGAGUUACUGAUAACAUUCAAAGUAAUCAACCAAAUUUCCGGUAACGAAUUAAAAUCAAAAUUAUUGCUUGUAGAUUGACAAAACUUGUCUCAACGAUUGAUUGAUUGUAUCUUGCUUAACGUCUCACUCGAGAAUUUUUCACUCAUAUGGAGACGUCACCAACACCGAUGAAUGGCUUCAAAUUUAGGCCUAUGCUCGGCGCUUACGGCCAUUGAGCAGUGAGGGUUCUUUAGCGUGCCACACCUACUUUGACACGGGUCAUCCGUUUUUAAGGUCAUCUCCGAGGACCCAUGACAUUCACAUCUGUUGCCGAGCGUUUGGCGAUGGAACUGUCACUACCUGUUUUAACGACUUAGGUGUGUCGCGGCCGGGAUUCGAACCCCGGGCCUUCCGCAUACGGGGUGAACGGUCCGUGGUUCGAAUCCCGGCCGCGACAUUGGCCAUAUGUUAUAUUGUUGACAGUAAGUAAUGGUUGAUAAAUUGCAGAAAAUGUCGGGUUGCAUUUACUUACAAUAAAAAUUGUGACCAAAAUGUGUAACAAAAUUGGUAAAUUUUACUUUUGUAAACGUUCUAUUCUUCUACAUCAACACCAUAGAAUACAUCCGCGCAUUUUUCUUGAAUUUUAAUACUUACGGUCCAACGCAAACUAGUUGCCGUGCCCUAAAAGAACUCCAAUCACAAUUAUUUUAAGAAAAUAAACUUACCAGUCCAAACCACUUUCAACCGAAUGUCCGAAUUCUACCGAAUAGCCGAUAACGCGUUUACCCGUGUGGAAAGGUUGUUAUUGCUUUUCUUGACAUUUAAAAUGUUACAUAUCACAGUCAUUGAUACAAUUUAAAAGAUAUACGCCUUUGCUGAAAACAUAAAUAAAAGACGUCAUGCUUUGUUAGAACACUUCUGCGGUGACAGACAUCUGUCUCGCAGAAACGCAUGCAACUUCUCAAAUCUUAUUGAACAUGUAAUGGACCGGCUCGUGCCGUCCCAUAAUAAACACAUAAUGCUAUAUGCCACCCCCUAUUUUAUUUACAGAAUACCGUUAACUUGUAUGGAUAUCCAGCACCAAAAUUGUAGCAUAUGCAUUUUUAAUCAUGAUACAUAUGUAUAUAUAACUGCAAUUUGUUUUUCUACCUACAAUGCAUUAUUUGGCUAGUUGUAUUCGGCGCCGGACGCGCCCGCGCGGCAAUCGUGAUCAUUGUUUUCCGGUAGAAUUUGCCAUGGUAAUAAACACUCACAUGAGCUUAAUUUUCUCUACUUUUUAGCUUUAUCGCUUGUUUUUUUUUUUUUUUUUUUUUUUUUUGUUUUUUGGUUUACGGAAAUAGCUUACGCAAAUAUCAACCCCAAUCAAAGUUGUUUUUUUCAAAGACAACAAACUAAUGAUACUUAGUGUCUUUUAGCUAUCAAUAUAUAUUUUGCCCUAAAGUGUUUAUAUCUAUAUGAGAAUUCACAAUUUUAGGAGCUAGGAUACAACCCACAGAAUUUCCCACUUUGAUGACAAAUUAUUUACUAAAUGAAUGAAUUAUCAAUAAAUAAGUGUCCCUUCCCAGUGUCUAAAUAUUAAUCAUCCGUCAGACUUUAUCAAUUGUUAUGUACAUAUUUCUUUUCUUUUUUCAAUAUUUUUUUUUUGCCUGGGCUCAUAUGAUGUGAAAGCCCCCCACCCCCCACCCCCCAACCCAACCCUAACCCGUUUAUCAACACUCCAAAUGCCAUGCGAAACUGCGCAUAUAAGACCCCCUUAUCUUUUUCUGAUCCAGGAUCAACACAUUUAUUUUCUUUUUAUACUUAUGUUUUGUAAGUAUACAUUAAAGAUUAUCGAAAUCUCUUCUACGUUCAAUUAAAAUUCUCGUUGUCAUUGAUGAUAUUUCUUCUUGAUUUAUUAAAUUUUUAGAUAAUAUUUGAUGUAUAUUUACAAUCCAUAAGUUAGAAAGGUGUGUAGAAGGUUCGGGGGUGGGGUGGGGGGGGGGGGGGUUGCAUGAUCCAUCAUACUUCAAGUCCCUGUCUAUAUAUUAAAACUACCCCUAUUAUGACCUCACCACGUGCGACUUCUGGUAAAAUAUCGAACCGAAAUAACGUAUGAUAAAAAAAUUAGCGAUACAUUUCUAUAAAAAUAAUUGUAACGCGCGGACGCAUUAUUUUUGGUCUAAUUGAUUUUCUCGGAAUAGCAGCCUUUUGACGUAAAAUUUCCAAUUGAUAAAGUACCGAAACCUGUACCAAAAAUGUCAACGAAGCCCUGGGCCCUACAUGUAUGUAUGGCUAUGGCAUUUUUAAAAUUGUUCAGUAUACAUCAGUGGCGGAAUUAGGGGAGGGGAGCGCAGCCCUGAAAUUUCAAAUCAAAGUCAAAUCGUGGUGUGUUGUUUAAAAAAAAUGUACUAAACGAUACCAGAAGCAAUAUUUUUUUUCCACUCCCGGAGAAAUAAAUCACAAAAUCUCUUGAUUUCUUGAAUUACUUUAUUGGGAGAACUUAUUUUUUUCCAAAAACCCUUAAUGUUUGCGUCAUUUUAUUAAUUUCACAUUAUAAAAAAAUGAUAGAAAAUGUUACAAAUGACUAAAUAGGGACACGUUUCAAGCUCUAUAAAAUCUGUUGAAUCCAGGAGCUUUCGGGGGCUUCACUCUGGAGCCACUGGGGCCUUUAAGGCUGCGCCCAGACCCCUUGCUUCAUAAAGUGACAACCCCUGUAACAGCAAUUCCUGGAUCCUCCCUAGUACAUGUAUAUUUAUCUAUUUAUAUUUAUAUCUCUAUCUUUCUGUCAGUCUACAUACAAGUAUCAGUAGGUAGAUUUAAACUGAUAAGUAAUGUCUUGAGUUCCAGCCCCGCUCGUGCUAUGACUUCGUCAAACCUAAAAGGUAAACAUAGUAAUAGUGCUCCAUCAUAAACCGCUCAGCAUUUAGAAGCGAGAGUAAGACCUUUAAGGAGGUAUGCUACACCAGAGAAAUUUGAUGUAGAUGAAAAGUGGAAAAUAUGUACAACAAUAUUUUGAAGUUGAAAUUUUUCAAAUUUACUUAAUUUUGUCAAAAAAUACAGUUUUAGUAGAAGGUAAUCUGAAAAAAUAAAAUAAAACCUCUGCUGGACUUGAACCUGUGACCUACAGUUUAGUAGUCGGUAUGCUAACCUACUGAGCUAAUCGGCUAGGUAUCUUAAUUGAAAAGCAAAAGUCAAAUAUUGCUGAUAUUGAUUUUUUCCUUCAUGUUUUAACCCUUUCUCUACCGUAUCGGUCAAUAUGACCGAUAGCGCGUAAAAACAGGGCUACGCAAAAGGAGUGUCUAUAAAUUUUUGAAACUACGGACGUAAUAUAUAUGUUUUAUAUAUCAUAUUUUUGGAAAUUUUCUAUAUUUUUUAACUAUGCAAAAAUCAAUUGAUUAAAUAAAGCCAUUAAAUUAAAAAAAGCAUUUAAAAUGAAGGAUGACUUCGUCUAAAUAUGACGCAACGCUUUGUAGCAAGGCCAUUUCCCCCCUCGCUAUGAUUUUUUUUUAUUUUCCCUAUGACUGCAAUAUUUUUUAUAUAUUUGAGAAGCAUAUAUUCCCUGCUUUCAGUACAUAUAAAAAUUAUUUUUAAUGCCUGGCAAAGUUAUAAGAAAAUAGCAAUUUUUUGCACAUAUACGUUGUUUUACGAUUUUAUUUCGCAAUGUUUAAACAGAUCGGCGUUUUAUCUAUAUUUAUAUAUGGAAAUAGGGAAAAGUAAAUACAUCCUGUAGAAGUAGAGGAAAUGUUCUUUUUGAUGGACCCUUAUUCAUAUUAUAAUUCUCGGUAGUUUUUAUAUUACGAUAAAAUGAAAUUGGGACAUGCUGCGCGGUUUUCUUAAAAAUUAGCGACAAAUCGACGUCGCUAAAAGCAAUCGACGCGCGUCGCACAAUAAAGUGGUGAAAACUAUUUGUAUUGUCCUCUUUUAGUAAAUUCAGUACCUGUUGAUACACUAAAACAACAUACAUACAUGUAUGAAAUAAUCAGCCAGGUAUCUCUGCUUUUUUUUUUUAAAGCAUAAAACCAAUAUUGGUUUAUAACAGUUACACAACCUACAUGUAACUUCAUAAAACACCUAUUGAGAAUAUUACAUCGGCAGAUUGAAUUUAAAAAAAGAUAAAUAAAGUACUUCGAAUUCAGAUAUAAACGUUAUAUUUGUUCGGAAUAGUAAUAAUUUUUUUCUCUGCCAAAGAAAGAAAACAAAAAAGAAGUUCGCCUAUAUAUAGCCUGUAUACUUUUAUUUUUCCGUGAUCCGGAUCGCGGGCCUCGCGGGCUUUUCUGAAAGUGUGCACGGAGAACACACGUGUUUCCGUUUCAACGAAAACAACACAGCUUCACCGUGACUGCCACAACCAACGCUUGUAUUUUACAUCUUUAAAACGACCUGAUGUCAGAAGAAGAUGCCCUGGAUCGCCUGUUGCAGGAUGACCCAAACGAUCAUGCAUUCAGUAUAAAUACGUACAUGGUAUUGACAUCGCAAUAUUUAGUGGGAAGUUCCCAGGUAUCAUCCGCUAGCGACAGUCUACUGACAAAUCCAGACAUGCAUUGGAAGGAUGCUGAUGUGGAGGACACAGGAACACCUGAUCCCAGAACUGUGGCAUUUCAUUCGGGGUGACAACCUGCCUUUCAGUUGGUAUGACUCUUUGAGGUUGAAUAUAGGGUUAAAUCAGUGUAAAUUUGAUUAACAUUCAAAUAAAUCCAGAUAAUACAUUCACAAUUGGAAUCAUGGCAUUAUGGUACACUGAUAUGUGUGUACCAUUUUACUGUUCCUUUUUUGGUGGGUUUUUUUUUUUUUUUUUUUUUGCUGCAUAACUAGGGAUCGUAUACAUACAAAAUGAGACAAAACAAUUUCUAAUUAGUUUCUAAUUAUAAGGUAUGACACGUUUUAAGGUAUGGUGGCCAAUACUGAUUUUAUUUGCAAUUUUCUUUCAGAUAUGGGACCCUAUUAUUCGGAGAACUGCAGAUUUUAUGAAGCUGUCUUUGACAGAAGAUUUGGUUUUCUCCAUCUGUGUUGCCACCAACCAUUAUGCUGAGAUGGUCAUAUCUAGGGGGAAGGGUUGCCAUAUACUUCCCAAGGAAGUUUUCAGCCUCUCACUGAAGAGGAACUGUACAGGUAUUACUAGUUUUAAAAACCGAUAUUGUGGCAGUGAUUUCCAGUUUCAAAAGAAUAAUAAAAUGCAUAGUAAAAAGAUUACCUUUACCAAAAUUAAUCUGGCUGUGAAUGUAACUCAUUUAUUAAAUGUGUACUACAAUUACCUCUGAUAAAAUUUCAUAAGUAAUUAAAUGCAUACUUUUCAGAGGGCCUUGAUUAUCGAAAACAUUUACAGAGCCAAUUUGAGUAUUCAAAAGCUUUGACAAUACAUUAGUAUUUAGGACUAAGUAUUAAGAAAUACUUUUUUUUCCAGAUUUUUGUGCAUUAUCUUAUACACGCCUGCUGUGAAGUUCCAGUCGAUAGACAGAUAUUGGUCAACGCAUGCCCCUGUCGGAACAACUCGUUAUCAAGAAUUAUGUCUAGAAAUAGGUUUCAAGAGGUUGAAUAUAAGAACAUUUUUGUUAAAUAUGAUGCAAGUACAUUUAAAUCUAGUGAUUGAAAGUAAGUACUUGAACAUUCGCUUAUGUUGAACUUGGAGAGGAAAAAUGGUUAGUACUUUUUGAUAACAUUUGAUAAGGUGUUGUUGCUUAGCAACCAAAUAUAACUGAAUAAAAAAUAGAUUAUUUUAGAUUAACAAUAAUUGAAAGAUCUUUGUUUUAAUGUUGCAAUACUUAUUCUAUUUAAUGGAACAUAAUGGCAAAACGUCAUAUUAUUAGAAAAUGAUGGACAAGUAUAUAAAGUACGAAGUUUCCAUUUGAUGAUCUUUGACCUUAAUUCUCUUCAUUACAUUUUUUGUUAAAAACCUUUUAAAAUGAUUAAGAUCUAUUUAAAGAUUAUAUUUUUAAAAUAAUGUGACAUUUACUAAUCAUCAUGGAUUGUAAUUACGUUUAAAUUGUGUCGAAUGGAUGCAGAAAGGCAAAUUAUGGUCAAAAUUGUACUAUGAGUGUUGUUACUUAGCAACCAAAAAUAUUUGUUUGUCAAUAAAAUUGAUUAGUUUGA